UACGUAGGGGGCAAGCGUUGUCCGGAUUUAUUGGGCGUAAAGAGCGUGUAGGCGGCCAGACAGGUCCGUUGUGAAAACUCGAGGCUCAACCUCGAGACGCCGAUGGAAACCGUUUGGCUAGAGUCCGGAAGAGGAGAGUGGAAUUCCUGGUGUACCGGUGAAAUGCGCAGAUAUCAGGAAGAACACCCGUGGCUAAGGCGGCUCUCUAGUACGGUACUGACGCUGAGACGCGAAAGCGUGGGGAGCGAACAGG
rnacentral:rRNA from 1 species